rnacentral:ncRNA from 1 species
CAAAAAACGAUGAUCGAGAAGAGUAGCUUGCCGAUCGCCAUUCAGGGAGAAAACGCCAUAGACUGCGAGCGUUUUUUAUGGCUGAAGCAAGUGAAUUCACCUCGGGAGUUGGCGCUUGGACCAUUUUUGCGUAUGCAAAAUGUAAAGGCGUUCCGGUGUAGACCGUUAUCGCAAUGAAGUGAGCUAUGCUGAUUGCAUAGCUAACAAGGGUGGUACCGCGAGUGCACUCGUCCCUUAC